rnacentral:rRNA from 1 species
UGCAGAAUCCCGUGAACCAUCGAGUCUUUGAACGCAAGUUGCGCCCGAAGCCGCUAGGCCGAGGGCACGUCUGCCUGGGUGUCACGCAACGUCGCCAGCGCCGGAUCCUACGGGCGCGGCGGAUGAUGGCCUCCCGGGAGCCUCGCCUCCCGGCCGGCCGAAAAAGGGGCCCUACGUGACGGCCGCCACGAUCCACGGUGGUUGAGUGAGCAUUCGCUCGAGGCCAAGACGUGCGCGCGCCGUCCCACGGCGGGGGCCAGUCGGACGGGGCACAGCCCGCCCACUCGUACGCGACCCCAGGUCAGGCGGGGCUACCCGCUGAGUUUAAGCAUAUCAAUAAGCGGAGGAAAAGAAACUAACGAGGAUUCCCCUAGUAACGGCGAGCGAAC